UGCGUAGGCGGUUCUUUGUGUCCGCUGUGAAAGCCCCGGGCUUAACCUGGGAAUUGCAGUGGAAACUAGAGGACUCAGAAUCUGGCAGAGGGGGGUGGAAUGCCACGUGUAGCAGUGAAAUGCGUAGAGAUGUGGCGGAACACCGAUGGCGAAGGCAGCCCCCUGGGCUGAGAUUGACGCUCAGACACGAAAGCGUGGGGAGCAAACAGGAUUAGAUACCCUGGUAGUCCACGCCCUAAACGAUGAUCACUAGGUGUUGGGGAAGCGAUUUCCUAGUACCGCAGCUAACGCGUGAAGUGAUCCGCCUGGGGAGUACGGUCGCAAGAUUAAA
rnacentral:rRNA from 1 species